rnacentral:rRNA from 5 species
CUGAAAUCAAGUGUGA